rnacentral:rRNA from 1 species
AUGGCGCCCAGGACGUCCGACAAGACGGCGACGCCGCCCGCUGCCGGGGCCGCCGCGACCGGGCUCGCGCUCGGCGUCGGCGGCGGCGGCAACGGCGGGGGCGUCGGGCCGCACUACCGCGGCGUCAGGAAGCGGCCGUGGGGCCGGUACGCGGCGGAGAUCCGCGACCCGGCCAAGAAGAGCCGGGUGUGGCUCGGCACGUACGACACCGCCGAGGAGGCCGCCCGCGCCUACGACGCCGCCGCGCGCGAGUACCGCGGCAACAAGGCCAAGACCAACUUCCCCUUCGCCUCCGCCUCCGCGCCGCCCGCCGCCGCGGCCCUCACCGGCGACGGCAGCCGGAGCAGCAACAGCAGCACCGUCGAGUCCUUCGGCGGCGACGUGCAGGCGCCCAUGCAGGCCAUGCCGCUCCCUCCGUCCCUCGAGCUCGACCUGUUCCACCGCGCGGCCACCAGCACCGCCGGGGCCGGCGCCGGCGCCGGCAUGCGCUUCCCCUUCAGCGGCUACCCCGUGUCGCACCCGUACUACUUCUUCGGACAGGCGGCGGCCGCCGCCGCCGGCGGCUGCCACAUGUACAGCCAGGCCCCGAAGGUGACCGUGGCGUCCGUGUCCCCGAGCGACUCCGACUCCUCGUCGGUGGUGGAUCUGGCGCCGUCGCCGCCCUCAAGGAAGCCCGUCCCUUUCGACCUCGACCUGAACUGCCCGCCGCCGGCGGAGCUCUGA